ACCAGGUCUUCUAGAACUGGACUUAUAGAUAGUUGUGAUCUACCAUGUGGGUGCUGGGAACCAAACUUGGCUGCUCUGUAAGAGCAACAAGUGCUCUUAAUUGCUGAGCCAUUUCUCCAGUCCCGUUGUAGGUUUCCCGCCUGGGUCCUGUCGCUGCAUUAGAGCCCCCAAAUAACACAUAGAGACUCUCUUAGUUACAAUGCUGUUGGCCAAUGUCUAGAGCUUCUUAUAGGCUAGCUCUAUCUUAAGUAUUAACCUAUAACUGCUAAUAUAUGUAUUUCUAUAAGGUCUUAUCUUACUGAGAACAUCCUCUCCUCCUGGGAUCACAUGGUGACUCCCUACUACAUUUCCCAGAAUCCUCCUUUUCUCUUAGUCCCGCCUAUUUUGCUUCUCUAUUGGCCAGCAGUGUUUUAUUUAUUAACCAAUAAGAGAGACAUAUACACAGAAGGACUUACCCCAUCAGUCCUCCACCUUGAAAAAUGAUUUUGUAUAAAUAUUUUGCCUGAAUGUAUGUCUCUUUAUCAUGUGUGUCCCAGAUCAGAAGAGGGCAUUGGAAUUCCUGGAACUGGAGUUAUAGAUGACUGAGCCUCCAUGUGGGUGCUGGGAAUUGCACUUAGGUCUUCUGGGAGAACAGCCAGUAUUUUUAACUACUGAAUCAGUUUUUCCAGCUCGUGGUUACAUUGUUUUUUUGAUCAACCAUUGUCUUACUGCAUUAAAAAAUAAUGUAUUCAACCCUUUGUACACUGAUGAAGACUGCUGCAACAGAACAACUGUUAACAGGGAGGAACAUACGG
rnacentral:lncRNA from 1 species